GACGAACGCUGGCGGCGUGCUUAACACAUGCAAGUCGAACGGGCCUUGUCCCCUUUUUUUUUGGGGGUGGGGUUAGUGGCGAACGGGUGAGUAACACGUGAGUAACCUGCCCCUCACUUCUGGAUAACCGCUUGAAAGGGUGGCUAAUACGGGGUGUUCUGGCCUGCUCGCAUGGGUGGGUUUGGAAAGAUUCGACCGGUUUUGGUUGGUUUGGUGGGGGAUGGGCUCGCGGCCUAUCAGCUUGUUGGUGGGGGGAUGGCCUGCCAAGGCUUUGACGGGUAGCCGGCCUGAGAGGGUGGGCGGUCACACUGGGAGUGAGACACGGCCCAGACUCCUACGGGGGGCAGCAGUGGGGAAUAUUGCACAAUGGGCGCAAGGCUGAUGCAGCGACGCCGCGUGAGGGAUGGAGGCCUUCGGGUGGGGAACCUCUUUCGCCAGUGAAGAAGGUCCUGCUCUUUGUGGUGGGGUUGACGGUAGCUGGGUUAAUGAAGCGCCGGCUAACUACGUG
rnacentral:rRNA from 1 species